AUGGAAGAGUCGAGCGAACGGACGAGAAGCUUGCUUCUCUUAUGUUAGCGGCGGAGGGGUGAGUAACACGUGGAUCACCUACCUAUGACACUGGGAUAACUUCGGGAAACCGGAGCUAAUACCGGAUAAUAUUUUGAACCGCGGGUUCACAAGUGAAAGACGGUCUUGCUGUCACUUAUAAAUGGAUCCGCGCUGCAUUACCUAGUUGGGAAGGUAACGGCUUACCAAGGCAACAAUGCAAAGCCAACCUGAAAGGGGGAUCGGCCACCCUGGAACUGAAACCCGGCCCAAACUCCUACGGGAGGCAGCAGUAGGGAAUCUUCCGCAUGGGGCAAAAGCCUGACGGAGCACCGCCCCGGGAGUGAUGAAGGUCUUCGGAUCGUAAAACUCUGUUAUUAGGGAAAAACAUAUGUGUAAGUAACUGGGCACAUCUUGACGGUACCUAAUCAGAAAGCCACGGCUAACUACGUGCCAGCAGCCGCGGUAAUACGUAGGUGGCAAGCGUUAUCCGGAAUUAUUGGGCGUAAAGCGCGCGUAGGCGGUUUUUUAAGUCUGAUGUGAAAGCCCACGGCUCAACCGUGGAGGGUCAUUGGAAACUGGAGAACUUGAGUGCAGAAGAGGAAAGUGGAAUUCCACGUGUAGCGGUGAAAUGCGCAGAGAAAUGGGAGGAACACCAGUGGCGAAGGCGACUUUCUGGUCUGUAACUGACGCUGAUGUGCGAAAGCGUGGGGAUCAAACAGGAUUAGAUACCCUGGUAGUCCACGCCGUAACGAUGAGUGCUAAGUGUUAAGGGGGUUUCCGCCCCUUAGUGCUGCAGCUAACGCAUUAAGCACUCCGCCUGGGGAGUACGGCCGCAAGGCUGAAACUCAAGGAAUUGACGGGGACCCGCACAAGCGGUGGAGCAUGGUGGUUUAAUUCGAAGCAACGCGAGACCUACCAAUCUGACAUCC
rnacentral:rRNA from 1 species